AUUUAUGAAAGAUUAAUGAGUGCGCCCAAUCUUGUCUGAUCUCGGAAGCUAAGCAGGGUCGGGCCUGGUUAGUACUUGGAUGGGAGACCGCCCGGGAAUAUCAGGUGCUGUAGGCU
rnacentral:rRNA from 1 species